GAUGAACGCUGGCGGCGUGCCUAAUACAUGCAAGUCGAGCGAACGGACGAGAAGCUUGCUUUUCUGAUGUUAGCGGCGGACGGGUGAGUAACACGUGGAUAACCUACCUAUAAGACUGGGAUAACUUCGGGAAACCGGAGCUAAUACCGGAUAAUAUUUUGAACCGCAUGGUUCAAAAGUGAAAGACGGUCUUGCUGUCACUUAUAGAUGGAUCCGCGCUGCAUUAGCUAGUUGGUAAGGUAACGGCUUAUCAAGGCAACGAUGCAUAGCCGACCUGAGAGGGUGAUCGGCCACACUGGAACUGAGACACGGUCCAGACGCCUGCGGGAGGCAGCAGUAGGGAAUCUUCCGCAAUGGGCGAAAGCCUGACGGAGCAACGCCGCGUGAGUGAUGAAGGUCUUCGGAUCGUAAAACUCUGUUAUUAGGGAAGAACAUAUGUGUAAGUAACUGUGCACAUCUUGACGGUACCUAAUCAGAAAGCCACGGCUAACUACGUG
rnacentral:rRNA from 1 species